AUGAAGGCCGUAUUGGGCAUGCCGUAUGCUUAUUCAGCUAUGAGAGCAGCUGAUGUAAGGGACAGAAGCAGAAAGGGCUCAGUUGGGAAGGAGUUAGGACAGAAUGUCUGAGGCAACGGCGUGGGCCAGAGAACGAGAAGGAGGAGACCAUCCAUGAGACAGGCUUUUUGUCUAGGAUAUUCUUACACAACGACGACUCCAAAGCCUCAGUUCCCAGUACAGGAAUCACAGAAGCAACUGCAUCGAGAGCCACGCAAAGUUCACUAGAGCCACUAACGUGUCGUCAAUGAGCGCGAACCUGAAGAUGGAAAGCCUACCGUAGAAUGCGCUUUGCCCCACAAAUUAUUCAGGAGCCCUCAUCCAGUGGCUGAUGGAAGCAGAGACAGACAUCCACAGAUAUACAAUGAGCCGAAAUCGGGAAUUUAGUUGAAGAGAGGGAGGAAUGAAGAGCGAAGGGGUCUGUACCAGGUUGGAGAAAUCCACAGGAACAAUUGGCCUGAACAAGGGAGAGCACAUCGACCCCAGAUGCUGUCAGGGAGGCCAGUACAAGACUGAUCCAGACCCCUGAACAUGGAUGUCAAUAAGGAGGACUCUGCACUCCAGGGAGCCUCUGGUGGUGGAUUAGUAUUUUUCCCUGGUGCAAGAAGGGACUUUGAGAGCCCAUCCCACGUGAAGGGAUACACUCUGGCCCUGGACACAUGGGGAAGGGCCCAGGACCAGCAUAGGAAGACUUGGUGGACUUUGCAGAGCCCCAGUUGAGGGCCCUACCCUGCCUGGGGAG
rnacentral:lncRNA from 1 species